AUUGAACGCUGGCGGCAGGCCUAACACAUGCAAGUCGAACGGUAACAGGAAGCAGCUUGCUGCUUUGCUGACGAGUGGCGGACGGGUGAGUAAUGUCUGGGAAACUGCCUGAUGGAGGGGGAUAACUACUGGAAACGGUAGCUAAUACCGCAUAACGUCGCAAGACCAAAGAGGGGGACCUUAGGGCCUCUUGCCAUCGGAUGUGCCCAGAUGGGAUUAGCUAGUAGGUGGGGUAACGGCUCACCUAGGCGACGAUCCCUAGCUGGUCUGAGAGGAUGACCAGCCACACUGGAACUGAGACACGGUCCAGACUCAUAGGGGAGGAAGCAGGGGGAAAUAUUGCACAAGGGGGGCAAGCUGGAUGCAGCCGGGCCGGGGGAAGAAAAAAGGCUUGGGGUUUGAAAAUUCCUUCAGGGGGGGGGGAGGGGAAAAAAUUAAUUACCUUGGCCAAUGGACUUUCCCCGAAAAAGAACCCCCGGCAAACCCCGUG
rnacentral:rRNA from 1 species